GGAAGUGACAACAGAGCAGCUCAAAACAGUUAAACCACAAAUGGAAAUCUUGGCCCACUAGAAGGAAGUGCCCCAUAGAGUCAGCAUGGGAAACAUUAUAGAGUUGUUGAAAUGCAUGUGAUAGCUGUAUCUCCUUUGGCUUCAUGGUCCUUGACUCUGAGCAUCUUCUGUCUUGUAAAUACCUAAAAUAUUCCUCCAGGGAAUGCAAAUCCAUAUUCUGCUCAUUUAAACCUACAGACAACUAACUUUCUUGGUGACAACUUACAAAUAGUUUCCCUAAAAGUGUUCUGUCACCUUCUAGUGUCUGCAGACCACAUGCUGAAACCACUGUCUAGACACCAGCCAAACAACAUAGGAAACAACCAUUCCCAUCACAGAAAACACUCCUCAUCCGAACAUUAGAUCUAACUGCUUUGUGUCAAUACCUUGGCACAGGACCCAGCAUGAUGGAAGCUCAGCAGAAAAAUGGAUGAAACCAUUCAGGUCAGUCAGUUGAUCAUUUAUGUACCAAUUUUCUUUGAUGUAUUAUUUAAUGCUCUGACAUUGAUGGUCUUUCACUGCAAGCAGAGCGCAUGUGACCAACUUAAUCACAUCACACACUGCUUGGCCCUCAUUCUGCCUUUUAAAGUCUCUUUUCAAAGAGAGCAAAAGAAACCAGACACAAAUUGUGCCUGAACUGACGAAUCAUCUGGUGCUUAAGGAGAUGCGCGAGUGUUGUCACCCUUGUAGCUGUCAGCAAAUACACUGCUAUUAACUAUCCUUGGAGAGCAAGGGGCUUAGGGUUCCUGUUAGCCCAUUCUCCUUUAUGGCCUCGUAGGAUGGCAAAUAAAAACUGCUGUUGAGAUACCA